GAAUUCGAUUAACGCGAAGAACCUUACCUGGACUUGACAUGCACCUCUAAGUCGGUGAAAGCCGGCGACUGUAGCAAUACAGAAUUUGCACAGGUGCUGCAUGGCUGUCGUCAGCUCGUGUUGUGAGAUGUUGGGUUAAGUCCCGCAACGAGCGCAACCCCUGUGAACUGUUGCCACCGAGCCGUGAGGCUCGAGCACUCUGUUCAGACUGCCCCGCUCUAACGGGGAGGAAGGUGGGGACGACGUCAAGUCAGUAUGGCCCUUACGGCCAGGGCUGCACACGUACUACAAUGCUCAGUACAGAAGGAUCCUAGACCGCAAGGUGGAGGAAAUCUCUAAAACUGGGCCCAGUUCAGAUUGAAGUCUGCAACUCGACUUCAUGAAGCCGGAAUCGCUAGUAAUGGCGCAUCAGCUACGGCGCCGUGAAUACGUUCCCGGGCCUUGUCACACCGAAUCACUA
rnacentral:rRNA from 1 species